rnacentral:misc_RNA from 1 species
UACAGAGGGUGCGAGCGUUGUCCGGAAUCACUGGGCGUAAAGGGCGCGUAGGUGGUUUGGUAAGUGUGUGGUGAAAGCCCGGGGCUCAACCCCGGGUCUGCCACGCAAACUGCUGAACUUGAGCAUACUAGAGGCAGGUUGAAUUCCGGGUGUAGCGGUGGAAUGCGUAGAGAUCCGGAAGAACACCGGUGGCGAAGGCGGCCUGCUGGGGUAGAGCUGACACUGAGGCGCGACAGCGUGGGGAGCAAACAGG